GAUGAACGCUGGCGGCGUGCCUAAUACAUGCAAGUCGAGCGAAUGGAUUAAGAGCUUGCUCUUAUGAAGUUAGCGGCGGACGGGUGAGUAACACAUGGGUAACCUGCCCAUAAGACUGGGAUAACUCCGGGAAACCGGGGCUAAUACCGGAUAACAUUUUGAACCGCAUGGUUCGAAAUUGAAAGGCGGCUUCGGCUGUCACUUAUGGAUGGACCCGCGUCGCAUUAGCUAGCUGGUGAGGUAACGGCUCACCAAGGCAACGAUGCGUAGCCGACCUGAGAGGGUGAUCGGCCACACUGGGACUGAGACACGGCCCAGACUCCUACGGGAGGCAGCAGUAGGGAAUCUUCCGCAAUGGACGAAAGGCUGACGGAGCAACGCCGCGUGAGUGAUGAAGGCUUUCGGGUCGUAAAACUCUGUUGUUAGGGAAGAACAAGUGCUAGUUGAAUAAGCUGGCACCUUGACGGUACCUAACCAGAAAGCCACGGCUAACUACGUGCCAGCAGCCGCGGUAA
rnacentral:rRNA from 1 species